CGAAAAGAGCAGCUAAUACCGCAUACGACCUGAGGGUGAAAGCGGGGGAUCGCAAGACCUCGCGCGAUUGGAGCGGCCGAUAUCAGAUUAGGUAGUUGGUGAGGUAAAGGCUCACCAAGCCGACGAUCUGUAGCUGGUCUGAGAGGACGACCAGCCACACUGGGACUGAGACACGGCCCAGACUCCUACGGGAGGCAGCAGUGGGGAAUUUUGGACAAUGGGCGCAAGCCUGAUCCAGCCAUGCCGCGUGCGGGAAGAAGGCCUUCGGGUUGUAAACCGCUUUUGUCAGGGAAGAAAAGGUUCUGGCUAAUACCUGGGACUCAUGACGGUACCUGAAGAAUAAGCACCGGCUAACUACGUGCCAGCAGCCGCGGUAAUACGUAGGGUGCAAGCGUUAAUCGGAAUUACUGGGCGUAAAGCGUGCGCAGGCGGUUAUGCAAGACAGAGGUGAAAUCCCCGGGCUCAACCUGGGAACUGCCUUUGUGACUGCAUGGCUAGAGUACGGUAGAGGGGGACGGAAUUCCGCGUGUAGCAGUGAAAUGCGUAGAUAUGCGGAGGAACACCGAUGGCGAAGGCAAUCCCCUGGACCUGUACUACGC
rnacentral:rRNA from 1 species